UACGUAGGGAGCGAGCGUUAUCCGGAUUUACUGGGUGUAAAGGGCGUGCAGCCGGGAGUGCAAGUCAGAUGUGAAAUCCCGCGGCUCAACCGCGGAACUGCAUUUGAAACUGUGCUUCUUGAGUGCUGGAGAGGCAGACGGAAUUCCUAGUGUAGCGGUGAAAUGCGUAGAUAUUAGGAGGAACACCAGUGGCGAAGGCGGCCUGCUGGGCUUUUACUGACGCUGAGGCUCGAAAGUGUGGGGAGCAAACAGG
rnacentral:rRNA from 1 species